UCCCUGGUUGUUCAGUGGUUAAGACUCUGUGCUUCCUCUGCAGAGGGCCCAGGUUCAAGCCCUGGUAGGGGAA
rnacentral:tRNA from 1 species